AUUGUUUCUCAGCCUUUCAGCUAAGAUGGAGUGUAAUAUUUGUUUUUAGCAGUUUAGUAUCUACUAUAUCUUCUAUCCGAGGACAGUAUAUUAAAUGGAUUUUUGGAGCAGGGAGGUGGAACAAGAGCUUGCCCCAUCCACUGCUCUCAUUGACCUGGUAUUGUAGUACCUCUAGGAAUGGUACACCCUCU
ensembl:snRNA U2 U2 spliceosomal RNA